CACGUAGGGCGCAAGCGUUGUCCGGAAUUAUUGGGCGUAAAGAGCUCGUAGGCGGUCUGUUGCGUCCGCUGUGAAAACUCGGGGCUUAACCCCGAGCCUGCAGUGGAUACGGGCAGACUAGAGGUAGGUAGGGGAGAAUGGAAUUCCCGGUGUAGCGGUGAAAUGCGCAGAUAUCGGGAGGAGCACCGGUGGCGAAGGCGGUUCUCUGGGCCUUACCUGACGCUGAGGAGCGAAAGCGUGGGGAGCAAACAGG
rnacentral:rRNA from 1 species